rnacentral:rRNA from 1 species
AAUAGAUACCCCGGUAGUCCUAGCCGUAAACGAUACUCGCUAGGUGUCGGCCACGGUGCGACCGUUGUCGGUGCCGUAGGGAAGCCGUGAAGCGAGCCACCUGGGAAGUACGGCCGCGAGGCUGAAACUUAAAGGAAUUGGCGGGGGAGCACCACAACGGGUGGAGCUUGCGGUUUAAUUGGAUUCAACGCCGGAAAUCUUACCGGGACCGACAGCAAUAUGAAGGCCAGGCUGAAGACUUUGCCGGAUUAGCUGAGAGGUGGUGCAUGGCCGUCGUCAGUUCGUACUGUGAAGCAUCCUGUUAAGUCAGGCAACGAGCGAGACCCACGCCCACAGUUGCCAGCGUACUCUCUGGAGUGACGGGUACACUGUGGGGACCGCCGCUGCUAAAGCGGAGGAAGGAAUGGGCAACGGUAGGUCAGUAUGCCCCGAAUAUCCCGGGCUACACGCGAGCUACAAUGGUUGGUACAAUGGGUAUCUACCCCGAAAGGGGACGGGAAUCUCCUAAAACCAAUCUUAGUUCGGAUUGAGGGCUGCAACUCGCCCUCA